CCGCGGGAUUAGAGUUUGAUCCUGGCUCAGGACGAACGCUGGCGGCGCGCUUAAUACAUGCAAGUCGAGCGAGAACCAGGGCUUCGGCCCUGGGGACAGCGGCGAACGGGUGAGUAACACGUGGGUAAUCAACCCCCGACACCGGGAUAGCCCAGGGAAACUUGGAUUAAUACCGGAUGCUCCAUCUGGCUUUCGAGCCGGCUGGAAAAGGGUAGCUUCGGCCUCCGGUCGGGGACGAGCCCGCGGCGGAUUAGCUUGUUGGUGAGGUAAAGGCUCACCAAGGCGACGAUCCGUAGCUGGUCUGAGAGGACGAUCAGCCACACUGGGACUGAGACACGGCCCAGACUCCUACGGGAGGCAGCAGUAGGGAAUCUUGCGCAAUGGGCGAAAGCCUGACGCAGCGACGCCGCGUGAGGGAAGAAGGCCUUCGGGUUGUAAACCUCUUUCAGGAGGGACGAAGCCACUCGGGUUAAUAGCCCAGAGGGUGACGGUACCUCCAGAAGAAGCCCCGGCUAACUACGUGCCAGCAGCCGCGGUAAUACGUAGGGGGCAAGCGUUGUCCGGAUUUAUUGGGCGUAAAGAGCGUGUAGGCGGCCAAACAGGUCAGCUGUGAAAACUCGAGGCUCAACCUCGAGACGUCGGUUGAAACCGUUUGGCUAGAGUCCGGAAGAGGAGAGUGGAAUUCCCGGUGUAGCGGUGAAAUGCGCAGAUAUCGGGAAGAACACCCGUGGCGAAGGCGGCUCUCUGGGACGGUACUGACGCUGAGACGCGAAAGCGUGGGGAGCGAACAGGAUUAGAUACCCUGGUAGUCCACGCCGUAAACGAUGGGCACUAGGUGUGGCGGGUAUCGACUCCCGCUGUG
rnacentral:rRNA from 1 species